UUGCCGGGUCGGGAUGUCACAGGCCCACCAGCUUCCGCGUGGUUCGUCCUCGAGCCAUACAUCUACUAGAGGGGGUCCGGCUCUGAUACCAACUGUCACACCCCGACUCUAAUCACUAGAGGAAUUGUCCGCUUUGGAUCAAGCCAAAUCCCCCAUACAAGAUUGGCAAGACCCGCACGGUUUUGUCCCGCAGGUGAAACGAGAAACUUCCCAGGAGGUCACCCAUCCUAGGAUUUCCGUUAAGCGAGCACGCUUAACCCUGGAGUUCUUCCAACUCUCCAACCAUUUCACCAAAG
rnacentral:lncRNA from 1 species